rnacentral:snRNA from 1 species
GUGCUCGCUUUGACAGCACAUACACUGAAAUUGGAAGGAUACAGAAGAUUAGCAUGGCCCUGCACAAAGAUGACACACAAAUUCGUGAAGUGUUCCUGAGGAGA